rnacentral:rRNA from 1 species
UACGUAGGGUGCGAGCGUUAAUCGGAAUUACUGGGCGUAAAGCGUGCGCAGGCGGUCUGUUAAGACCGAUGUGAAAUCCCCGGGCUUAACCUGGGAACUGCAUUGGUGACUGGCAGGCUUUGAGUGUGGCAGAGGGAGGUAGAAUUCCACGUGUAGCAGUGAAAUGCGUAGAGAUGUGGAGGAAUACCGAUGGCGAAGGCAGCCUCCUGGGCCAACACUGGACGCUCAUGCACGAAAGCGUGGGGAGCAAACAGG